UCCCUGACACUCUUCCUGUCUUUACAUGAAUCAAAGUUUCUGACCUAUAGAAUUUUCUUUUCUACUUUGUUCUCUCAUAUAUGGUUUAGGGUGCAAAGCCCACUGUAAGUCUUAUCUUUGUUCUUCUAUGGGUAAGGUCUCUUUUGUCCUGUUGUUCCUUUGAAGAACUUCUCUCUGUCUUUAGUUUUCAGCAGUUUGAGUACAAUAUGCCUAAGUGUAGUUUUUUGCUAUUCAUCUUACUUGUUCUCUGAAAUUCCUGGAUCUGUGGUCGGUGGUCUGUCUUUAAGUUUUGAAAAUUUUUGGACAUUCUUACUUCAAAUAUUUUUCCAAUCUGUUAUCUCUUUUUUCGCCUUCUGAUAUUUCAAUUAUGAAUAGUAAAGGAAAAUAAAUCUUAGGGCCCCAAAAUCACUAAGCUAAAUGGAGAAGUCGAGCUGGGAAGUGCUUAGGGCCAACCUGCCUCCCAUUCUAUUCAAAAUCACCCCUUGCUCACUGAGAUAAAUGUAUUAUCUGAUUGCCACCUUGGGCACACGUAGUCAGGACCUCCUGAGGCUUUAUCACAGGCGCAUAUCCUCAACCUUGGUAAAAUAAACUUUCUAAAUUAACUUACACCUGUCUCAUUUAUCCGGGGUUCACACACAUAUGUUGCAUCUUUUGAAAUUGUUCCAUGGUUCUUGGAUGUUAUUUCUUUUCAUUUUUUUCUCUUUCCAUUUCAGUGUAGGAAGUUUACAUUGACAUAUUUUCAAGUUCAAUGAUACUUUCCUUGGCCGUGCCCAGCUUACUGAUGAGCCCAUCAAAACUAUUCUUCAUGUCUGUUACAGUGCUUUUAAUUUCUUUGUUAGAAUUUCCAUCUGUCUUCAUUUUCUUUUGAUUCUUUAUUAGAAUUUCUAUCGCUCUGCUUAUAUUACCAAUCUGUACUUGCAUGUUGUCUCCUUUUUCCCUUAGUGUCCUUAACAUAUUAAUCACAGUUCCUUCAAAUUUCUUGAUAAUUCCAAAAUCUGUGCCAUAUCCAAUUUUGGUUCUGGUGCUUGCUCUGUCCCUGAAUAGUGUGUGUUUUCGCUUUUUUGUGUGCCUUGUAAAAUUUUUUGUUAUAGAAAUCUAGACAUGAUAUAUCAGAUAAUCAAAACUAAGAUAAAUAAGCCUUUAGUGUCUGUUUUUUAUGCUGAUCUGGUUAGGAGUUGGGCUGUGUUUAAUAUGCAAUACCUGUAGAUAUCUGAAGCUACAAACUCCUCCAGUGUCUUUGUUUUUUUUUUUAUUUUCUAAGUCAUUUCAUUUUUUUUUUUUUUGGUACUUUCCUUGGUAUUUUUUAUGUGGACAAUCAUGUCAUCUGCCUGCCUUCCUUCCUUCCUUCAUCUGUCCUUCCCUCCCUUCC
rnacentral:lncRNA from 10 species